AAGAGAGGUGACUUCUGUCAUAGGAGGAUAGAACCCUGCAUAUCUUCUUACUGUGCACGUGUGCAUGUAAAGGAUUUGCAGAUUCAGCAGUGCGUGUUCAGGGCUUGCACAUGGUUUUAUUUUUUGCUCAUGCUCUGUUCAUUUGGAAAGAGUCAGUUUUUGUUAGAAAUACUACAUUAGUUUCCAAAUGGUUUUCUUCUUUGUGUUGUGCAAUGACAGAUACCUUUACCCAAAGUACCUUACUGUUUAUGUUAGAGAUGGGUGAACAUUUUCCUUAAGUGGUAGAUCAUAUUUUAGGCUGUGAUGUCUGUAUGGCUUCUGUGUACAUCUAGCUCUGCCAGUAUACCUUUAAGCAGACAUAGAUAGUAUGUCUAUGAAUGGAUGUGUCUUUGUUCUAGUAAAACAUUUCUGUAAACUGGGCAGCUAGCCCUGCUUUUCACUCUGUACCACUCUAUAUCAAGUGUUACCUUUUCCUGUGGUUCUGUUGUAUAUGUGUUGAAUUCAUCAUAGAAGAAUAGUAUUGUGGAUAGUUCCCAUACUUACUUAAUUCAUAAGAGACUUAAUAGCUAAUGAAUAUAGCUAUUGAUAGCAAGAUUUAGUUUAACAGACAUUAAGGAAUUAAGAAAUUAUUUUGUUAUUACAUCCUGGUAUGCUAUCUAACUUUAUUGUCAGAGCAAAUGACAGUCAUUUAAGAAAUUCUUUGAGAAACCUGUGCCCACUGUAGGAUACUUGCUACUGUCCUUUUCUUACAUGUUUUUCUCCCUAUCUCUUAAUGCUUAUGCUUAAAUCUUUGUUAAAACCUUUCCUUAAUAAUCCCCACCAUUGCUUAAAAAAAGAAAUUCUGUAUUGUAUAUGUAUAUCUCGUAUACAUUUUCUGGGAUUCUUUUUAAGAUUGGUUUGUUUUGCUGCUGGCCCUCAACAGUGUAUUUCAAAUAUAACACACACAGUUCAUCUUGCCUUGACUGGUUCAUGAGGAUAUUGUUUCCCUUUAUCAUCACUGAAUUUAAAUGCGUGACAUUCCAUAGUCAUUCAUCUUAUAAUGAGGAGAGAUAUGUUGAUGUUCUAGGCAUGGAAAAGUGGCAGCAAUCUCCACAAUCAGGUUUGUGUCUCAGGUGGCUAUCCAAUGCACAUUUUUGGCACCAUUGUUUGAGCACUGCCUUCAGAUGAGGCACCAUCCAGGGGCACAAAAAUUGUCUGGAAUGUUAUACUUUACAAAGAUGAAUCAAUUCCUGUUUUUUUCCCCCA
rnacentral:lncRNA from 1 species